UACGUAGGAUCCAAGCGUUGUCCGGAAUUACUAGGUGUAAAGGGUGCGCAGGCGGACUUGUGCUUCAGAGGUUAAAUACCCCGGUUCAACCGGGGAAAUGCCUUUGAAACGGCAGGUCUUGAGUGCGAGAGAGGAUGGUAGAAUUUCUGGUUUAGCGGUGAAAUGCGUAGAUAUCAGGAGGAAUACCAGUGGCGAAGGCGGUCAUCUGGCUCGGAACUGACGCUCAGUCACGAAAGCGUGGGGAGCAAACAGG
rnacentral:rRNA from 1 species